CAUAUCAAUAAGCGGAGGAAAAGAAACUAACAAGGAUUCCCCUAGUAACUGCGAGUGAAGCGGGAAAAGCUCAAAUUUAAAAUCUGGCAGCCUUUGGUUGUCCGAGUUGUAAUCUAGAGAAGUGUUAUCCGCGCUGGACCGUGUACAAGUCUCCUGGAAUGGAGCGUCAUAGAGGGUGAGAAUCCCGUCUUUGACACGGACUGCCAGGGCUUUGUGAUGCACUCUCGAAGAGUCGAGUUGUUUGGGAAUGCAGCUCAAAAUGGGUGGUAAAUUCCAUCUAAAGCUAAAUAUUGGCGAGAGACCGAUAGCGAACAAGUACCGUGAGGGAAAGAUGAAAAGAACUUUGGAAAGAGAGUUAAACAGUACGUGAAAUUGCUGAAAGGGAAACGCUUGAAGUCAGUCGCGUUGUCCAGGGAUCAACCUUGCUUUUGCUUGGUGCACUUUCUGGUUGACGGGUCAGCAUCAAUUUUGACUAUUGGAAAAAGAUUAGGGGAAUGUAGCAUCUUCGGAUGUGUUAUAGCCCUUAGUUGCAUACAAUGGUUGGGAUUGAGGAACUCAGCACGCCGCAAGGCCGGGUUUUUAACCACGUACGUGCUUAGGAUGCUGGCAUAAUGGCUUUAAUCGACCCGUCUUGAAACACGGACCAAGGAGUCUAACAUGCCUGCGAGUGUUUGGGUGGAAAACCCGAGCGCGUAAUGAAAGUGAAAGUUGAGAUCCCUGUCGUGGGGAGCAUCGACGCCCGGACCAGACCUUUUGUGACGGUUCCGCGGUAGAGCAUGUAUGUUGGGACCCGAAAGAUGGUGAACUAUGCCUGAAUAGGGUGAAGCCAGAGGAAACUCUGGUGGAGGCUCGUAGCGAUUCUGACGUGCAAAUCGAUCGUCAAAUUUGGGUAUAGGGGCGAAAGACCUAAUC
rnacentral:rRNA from 1 species